UAAAAGGGUCGGUUGGCUAUGUAUGCCACUCCCAUCCUUCGAUGAUGGGUGCUGUAUGGCUAUCAAGACAUAUGGCCGACAUAAUUUGUGGGCAUCCCUAGGGUUGGCUCGCUCGGCCGACCCUCCA
rfam:Ananas comosus cultivar MD2 ACMD2_Scaffold_174, whole genome shotgun sequence.